rnacentral:tRNA from 1 species
AAUGGAUUGGCAGAAUAGUGCCACCGACUUAGGAUCGGUACAUGGAGUUUUACUCCAUCCAUUAC